UGCUUACAAGGCUGGCUUAACUUCAACCAGACGGAAUUUUGCAUGGUCCAUAAACAUUUUCGAAUUUCGUCACGCAAAUUGUGCAAAUUGUGUUGUUUCAAUUGUGUCUAGAAUUAGGAUUGUGGUUUUCCCGAAGGAACAAAAAAUGUCCGCGUUGAAUAUAGUUUCCGCCACGAAAUUAUUUUCUAACAAAGUGGUCUUGCGCGGAGUGGAUAUCAAGGUCGAAAAAGGAACAAUGUCAGCCCCACAGUGAAAUCUUUUCCUUCUUGUGCUCAAGUCAAAAUUAUUAACAAUUUUCAGCUUGAUUCAAUUAAUUUAUAAGAAUGCACAUAUUUAUUUAAAUAGAAAUACAUGAAAUUAUUGAAAUAUGAUUUAUUAAUGUAAUUUUUUCUCUUGCGCAUGUGCAGAUAUGCCCUUCUUGGUCCAAGCGGAUGUGGGAAAACUACUUUGGUAUCUUGCAUUAUGGGAAUUCAGCAGUUAAACGAGGGCAGGAUAGAAAUCUUUGGGAAAAAUUUGACCAAUUUUAAAAACGGAAUGCCUGGAAGUUUGAUUGGCUACAUGCCACAGGAAACGUCUCUCUACGAAUCGUUCACAAUUAUGGAAACAUUCGCCUACUACGGAACACUGCACGGUGUACCUUCACACGAAAUUUUAAGCAGAGUGGAAACUUUGAGAAAUGUCAUGAAUUUACCCAAUGUUAAGCGUAAUAUUAAACAAAUCAGUGGUGGAGAACAACUCCAACCGUGUCUCACUCUGCGUCGCGUUACUGCAUGACCCUCAAAUUCUUCUGUUGGACGAGCCAACGACCGGAAUUGAUCCCCUUUUAUGAGAAAGGAUCUGGGAUUACUUGAGACUUCUUGUUGAAUCCAAAGGAACCACGGUUUUCGUCACGACGCAUUACGUCCAUGAAACGAGACAAUGCACGCAGAUUGGUUAUCUACGAGAUGGCUCCAUGUUGGUGCAAGGCUCUCCUAAAGCUUUGCUGGAAAAAUACGGGCAAACUUGUACCUUAAAUACUACAAAUUUGGAUGAUGUAAUUCUUCAUUUAUGCAAAAUUCCUCGUUCUCUACGAACAACACCUAGAGAAUUGACCACUAAAAUUUUAGCAUUCUCCGAAAUAAAAAUGGAGCCUGAAUUUGACGUCCAAGUUGUGUCCUUUAGGAAUGUUAGAGACGAGUCCAUUAACAUUAAUGGUGAGCCCAUAAAGUGCCCUAAACUUGAGGCCAGAUUACUAUCCGGGACAUCCGCAGCUAUGAAGACUUACUGCUCGCAACUUAAGGCACUUACAACUCGAAAUUCAAUUAUUUACACCCGAUUUAUUUCGUAAGUUGAAUAAUUUGCUAAUUUUUGCUAAUUACACUCGCAGAUUGCCACUCAUCCAACUGGUUUUAUUAUUAAUAAACAUAUCCAUUACAUUGCUCGCUGUCGGACAUGACCCAAAAGGUCUCCAAUUGGGAGCAACAAUGGACAACGGACAAGUCCACUGCGACACAAAUCUUGCCCAUCCAAUUUCUUCCGGCAGCAACGCAACACGCCCAGAAAUAGAUUACACGUGUCGAAUAUUGGGCAUUGUUGAAAAAUUAGGAGUUAACUGGGUGCCCUUUAGUACCGAAUUGGAUGCACUACAAGCUAUCAGAGCUGGUCGUAUAGCGGGUUAUAUAAAAUUCCCUAAAAAUUUUACCCAAAAUAUGAUGAAACUAUUGGCCUGGAAUAUUCGUGCGGACGAAGAAACUUUAAAUAGAUCCGUGAUUUCGAUACGAUUAGAUAAUUCUGAAUACAUGAACGCGUACUUUCUUACCAAAUCGUUAUAUGAAUCCGUUCAGAAGUUUCUACUAUUAAAUGCGAACUAAUAUGAUAUGGACGAACGAAUAGUGACACUACCGCUACAGUUCCGCCCAAUCUAUGGAAACUUGUUUCAUACGUGGAACACAUUCCUACUUCCGGCAGAAGUGCUUCUAAUGUGGACCUUCUUAUCGACGACGAUGGGUUUUUUCACGUGAUGGAUC